UUUGAUUAUGGCUCAGGACGAACGCUGGCGGCGUGCCUAAUACAUGCAAGUCGUACGCUUCUUUUUCCACCGGAGCUUGCUCCACCGGAAAAAGAAGAGUGGCGAACGGGUGAGUAACACGUGGGUAACCUGCCCAUCAGAAGGGGAUAACACUUGGAAACAGGUGCUAAUACCGUAUAACAAUCGAAACCGCAUGGUUUUGAUUUGAAAGGCGCUUUCGGGUGUCGCUGAUGGAUGGACCCGCGGUGCAUUAGCUAGUUGGUGAGGUAACGGCUCACCAAGGCCACGAUGCAUAGCCGACCUGAGAGGGUGAUCGGCCACAUUGGGACUGAGACACGGCCCAAACUCCUACGGGAGGCAGCAGUAGGGAAUCUUCGGCAAUGGACGAAAGUCUGACCGAGCAACGCCGCGUGAGUGAAGAAGGUUUUCGGAUCGUAAAACUCUGUUGUUAGAGAAGAACAAGGAUGAGAGUAACUGUUCAUCCCUUGACGGUAUCUAACCAGAAAGCCACGGCUAACUACGUGCCAGCAGCCGCGGUAAUACGUAGGUGGCAAGCGUUGUCCGGAUUUAUUGGGCGUAAAGCGAACGCAGGCGGUUUCUUAAGUCUGAUGUGAAAGCCCCCGGCUCAACCGGGGAGGGUCAUUGGAAACUGGGAGACUUGAGUGCAGAAGAGGAGAGUGGAAUUCCAUGUGUAGCGGUGAAAUGCGUAGAUAUAUGGAGGAACACCAGUGGCGAAGGCGGCUCUCUGGUCUGUAACUGACGCUGAGGCUCGAAAGCGUGGGGAGCAAACAGGAUUAGAUACCCUGGUAGUCCACGCCGUAAACGAUGAGUGCUAAGUGUUGGAGGGUUUCCGCCCUUCAGUGCUGCAGCUAACGCAUUAAGCACUCCGCCUGGGGAGUACGACCGCAAGGUUGAAACUCAAAGGAAUUGACGGGGGCCCGCACAAGCGGUGGAGCAUGUGGUUUAAUUCGAAGCAACGCGAAGAACCUUACCAGGUCUUGACAUCCUUUGACCACUCUAGAGAUAGAGCUUCCCCUUCGGGGGCAAAGUGACAGGUGGUGCAUGGUUGUCGUCAGCUCGUGUCGUGAGAUGUUGGGUUAAGUCCCGCAACGAGCGCAACCCUUAUUGUUAGUUGCCAUCAUUUAGUUGGGCACUCUAGCAAGACUGCCGGUGACAAACCGGAGGAAGGUGGGGAUGACGUCAAAUCAUCAUGCCCCUUAUGACCUGGGCUACACACGUGCUACAAUGGGAAGUACAACGAGUCGCGAAGUCGCGAGGCUAAGCUAAUCUCUUAAAGCUUCUCUCAGUUCGGAUUGUAGGCUGCAACUCGCCUACAUGAAGCCGGAAUCGCUAGUAAUCGCGGAUCAGCACGCCGCGGUGAAUACGUUCCCGGGCCUUGUACACACCGCCCGUCACACCACGAGAGUUUGUAACACCCGAAGUCGGUGAAGUAACCUUUUGGAGCCAGCCGCCUAAGGUGGGGAUAGAUGAUUGGGGUGAAGUCGU
rnacentral:rRNA from 1 species